rnacentral:rRNA from 1 species
AUUGAACGCUGGCGGCAUGCCUUACACAUGCAAGUCGAACGGCAGCACGGGUGCUUGCACCUGGUGGCGAGUGGCGAACGGGUGAGUAAUACAUCGGAACGUACCUUAUCGUGGGGGAUAACGCAGCGAAAGCUGUGCUAAUACCGCACACGCCCUGCCGGGGAAAGGGGGGGAUCGCACGACCCCGCCCGAUUAGAGCGGCCGAUGCCUGAUUAGCUGGUUGGUGGGGUAAAAGCCCACAAAGGCGACGAUCAGUAGCUGGUCUGAGAGGACGAUCAGCCACACUGGGACUGAGACACGGCCCAGACUCCUACGGGGGGCAGCAGUGGGGAAUUUUGGACAAUGGGGGCAACCCUGAUCCAGCAAUGCCGCGUGAGUGAAGAAGGCCUUCGGGUUGUAAAGCUCUUUUGUCAGGGAAGAAACACCGGCUCUAACACAGUCCGGGAAUGACGGUACCUGAAGAAUAAGCACCGGCUAACUACGUGCCAGCCGCCGCAGUAA